rnacentral:rRNA from 1 species
GAUGAACGCUGGCGGCGUGCCUAAUACAUGCAAGUCGAGCGAACAGACGAGGAGCUUGCUCCUCUGACGUUAGCGGCGGACGGGUGAGUAACACGUGGAUAACCUACCUAUAAGACUGGGAUAACUUCGGGAAACCGGAGCUAAUACCGGAUAAUAUAUUGAACCGCAUGGUUCAAUAGUGAAAGACGGUUUUGCUGUCACUUAUAGAUGGAUCCGCGCCGCAUUAGCUAGUUGGUAAGGUAACGGCUUACCAAGGCAACGAUGCGUAGCCGACCUGAGAGGGUGAUAGGCCACACUGGAACUGAGACACGGUCCAGACUCCUACGGGAGGCAGCAGUAGAGAAUCUUCCGCAAUGGGCGAAAGCCUGACGGAGCAACGCCGCGUGAGUGAUGAAGGUCUUCGGAUCGUAAAACUCUGUUAUUAGGGAAGAACAAAUGUGUAAGUAACUAUGCACGUCUUGACGGUACCUAAUCAGAAAGCCACGGCUAACUACGUG